CCUUGAGAGUCCUGAAGGAACGUUGAAGACGACGACGUUGAUAGGCCGGGUGUGUAAGCGCAGCGAUGCGUUGAGCUAACCAGUACUAAUGAACCGUGAGGCUUAACCUUACAACGCCGAAG
rnacentral:rRNA from 1 species